ensembl:lncRNA
AUGAUGCCGUCGGUCCUUUCUCGGGGUACCCGAGGUCCGUUAGCGAUCACGUUGUUGGCCUCCGGACCGUUCGGGAUCAGGUCGAUUCGCGGACCGUUCGGGAUCAGGUUGAUGGCGGUUCGCCUCGCGGUCCGUUCGGAUUCGCGGACCGUUCGGGAUCAGGUUGAUGGCGGUUCGAUUCGCGGACCGUUCGGGAUCAGGUUGAUGGGGGUUCGAUUCGCGGACCGUUCGGGAUCAGGUUGAUGGCGGUUCGCCUCACGGACCGCGAAGUUGCGGGGCCCCAUCAAGCGCGGAAAACGGUGCGACCGCGAUAGGUUCACCCUCCUAAGGACGGCCGAAUCUUUUCCAAGUUGUCAUAGUAUUCGUAGCAAAACUUUAGCAAUUCACUUGGCGGACCAGAGAGACUGAACACAUUACUUGUUAGAUGUUGAAAGUUAAUUUUGGAGUAUGAUUUCAAGCAUUCCACCCACCCAUCCAGAUAAGUAGAACUGAAUUGGAGUAUAUGUAGAUGACCUUGUCUAUAUAUUCUAAAUAGAACAUUGGGAUUUCUACUUAGCUUUUCGCUGCGAAAUGCUUUGCGUUGAGGUUCAGUCAUAUCGUCCCGAUUCCCUCCUUCAUACAUGUCUCUCACAAGGUUCUCCAUUUGAGUUUCAGACGUCGAAAUUCAGAUGUUUAAAAUCACAAUUGAUAUUAGUAAAGAAUAGAGAAAAAUCUGGAACUCUUCUUCUUCUUCUUAGUUUUAUGGCGGAUUGAAAUCUGGAACUCAUAUUCUUUGGGCUUUUAUACGCUUUUGAACUCUUUUGGGCGUCUUCUUAAAUCAUCAGCCAAUCUGACUGUAACAGGUGUUCAAUGCUGUGCCCAAUGAAAUUAUGGAUGGGCAUCACUGUACUUAA